ensembl:lncRNA
GGAAUCUGUUGCAACGAAUGUAAAGGACCGAGGACUUUCACAUCAGCACGAACACCUACGCUCACUCAUUUUAUCGUUUAUAUUUUUAAAUGUGUAUUUAUUCUUUUCUCAUACAAUACAUCCCAACUGCAGCUUCCCCUCUGUCCCUCCUCCCAGUUCCCCUCCCACCUCCUGUCUCGCCCAGAUCCACUCCCCCGCCACUCCCCAGAAAAGAGCCAGCUUCCUAGGGACAUCAGUGCAACAGGGCACAACAGGAUACAAUAAGACCAGGAACAAACCCUCACAUCAAGGCUGGGCAAGGCAACCCAAUAGGAGGGAAAGGGUCCCAAAAGCAGGCAAAAGAGUCAAAGACAACCCCAAUCACACUGUCAGGAAUCCGCCCUCCCAAAAAAAAAACAGUAAACCAACAACCAUAACAUUCGCAGAGGACCUAGUGCAGACACUUGCAGGCUCUGUAAUUACCACUUCAGUCUCUGAGAGCCCUGCUAAGUUGAUUCUGUAGGCUGUGUUCUCCUGGUGUCCCCAACCCCUCUGGCUCCCACAAUUCCUCCUCCCUCUCUUCCACAGAGUUCCCACAAGAGCUUGGAGGAGAGGGGCCUGGAGAUCUCCAACCUGGCUCUCUCUUCGCUUAAUGUUUGGCAGUGGGCCUCUGCAUUUGCUCCCAUCAGCUGCUGGAGGCAGCCUCUCUGAUGAGCAUCUGGCCUUCACCCAGUAGCUGAUGAAAGCAGAAGCAGACACCCACAGCUAAACACUGAGCUGAACUCUGGAAUCCAGUUGCAGAGAGGGAGGAGUGAUGAGCAAAGGGGUCAAAACCAGGCUGGAGAAAUUCACAGAAACGGCUGACCUGAACAAGCAGGAGCUCAUGGACCCCAGACUGAUAGCCGGGAAACCAGCCUAGGACUGUUCCAGACCCCCUGAACAAGGAUGUCAGUUUGGAUGUCUGGACAAUCUAUGGGGCCUCUGGUAAUGGAUCAGUAUUUACCCUAGUACAGGAAUGGACUUUGGGAGCCCACUCUACAUAGAGGGAUACUCUCUCAGCCCUGCUCCAAAUAAUAUGACAGAUUUUGAAGAUCCCCAUGGAAGGUCUCACCAUCCCUGGGAAGCAAAAGGGGAUGGAAUAGGGGGUCAGUGGAAGGGCAGGAGAGGAGGGGAGGGAGAGGGAACUGAGAUUGACAUGUAAAACAAGCUUGUUUCUAAUUUAAAUAAAAAUAAGGAAAAAAGCUUUCAUUAUUAGAAAAAAAGUGUUAAACACACAGGAACAAUUAUGAACCAUGGCCACAUUAUGUUUAAUCAUAAAACAGAGCUACAAAAACUGAUUAACAUGUUAUAAAGGAAUAUAAUAAAGUAAUUCUUCUACAAACAACAAAUUCACAUUGAUGACUGUAAAAACUUCAAUCACAAUGAUCUUUGACAACUCUUGAUAUGACAAUGUCACACACAUAGUAGUCCAUACAUGUAAGGUCAAUUACCAGCCUUGUUUACUAAGGUAGAAGUACUUACACAAACUGCUGUCAACUCACACUUUAAGUACUAAGUCACUCCAAACCACAAAAAGCUGGCCCUGGUUGCCUACAGCUAAUGGAAUUAUGCACUACAUAACCCAAGUGAUUCUUCUAAUUCUAUAUCUUGGACAUUUAGCUCAAGCUUCCUAACCUAAACUAAAGAGACUGGGCUUGGGAAAUUUUACAUUGACAGCAUCCUGUUAUUAAUGCUAAGGGACAGAGAAUUCAGUGAUGAGAAGCUAAUAGAAACUGAGCUUAAAAAAAAAAAGAAAACACGUGGUGAAUUAGUGGAUCUCAACCUUCACUAAAAGUGUAAAUCUCCUACUAAUCAAGGACUCAGUGGUAAGAGCACUGGCUGCUUUUGUAGAGGACACAGAGCAGCAAUUACACAGUGGCUCACAACCAUCUAUAACUCCAACUCCAAGUGAUCCAAUAACCUUUGGUGCACAGUCACACAUGUAGCCAAAACACCCACACACAUAAAAUAUAAACCCUUUUGUAAUGUCUUAAAUGCCAGAUAAUCUGUAGAAACUGAUCUGUGUUGUUCUUCUCUUUACCCAAGAGAGAACAUUCUAACACACAGGAUUUAAAAGCAUAGCAGUAAAUAAAUCAAACAAUAUUAUUCAGGUUGAAAAUAUAUACAGCAGAGAACUGUGUUCUAAACCAAAAAGAAGCUGAAAAGAGCAAAAAAACACAAAUAUAACAGUUUUUCUAGCACCAGAGUAUAAUGUAGACCGUUUACAGUAGCCAAGCACCAAGACGUUAUCCGAGUGACUGACUAUUAAGAUUCUGAAAGCAUCUAAAGCAAGGCUUCUCCCUGGGGCUCUUACUCUUCCAGGCUGUGAAAAUAAAUGCAGUAUGAAAGGGAAACAGAUUUCAUGUUGACUUUACCGUGUCUUCUAUGUUAUUUUCUUUAAACCGUGUUGACUUAAAAAAGAAAGGCAUUUGGAUUUUCAUUUGGUUACAUACCAAAACUAAGUUAAAUAUGUAGAAUUUACAUGUAAAAAUUCUAUCUUUCCAAUACUCCAAUUUCACAAAUAUCAACAUGUUUA